UACACAUUUCAGAAAACUAAAAUGAAUUCCAUGGGUUGAACAAACUUUAUCCUUUUUACACAUCAACCAAGAUACCGAAGCAGUACCCCAUCGUUUCCGAGAACAAAACCUUUGUUAUCGUCAAUAAAUUUGACUGAGUAUAGAUUUGCUGCAAUAUUAUCUGCGGCUUUAUCACGAGCCCAUGUCCUUCCACCGUUGGUUGUUCUCAGGAGGAUGCCACUUCCUCCAGCAGCCCAAGCUUCAUCCUUUGAGCGAUAACCAACAUCAAGUAUUCCAAAACCUCUACUCUGCACAGGAACUUCUACAAAUUCCUCCGUGAUCCCUGUUCCCUUGCUGAGAUAAAGUCCACCACCACGGGCAAGAAGCCAAAGUCCACCAUCAGCCCUCCAUCCCAUAUUCUGGAUACGCCUUGCAACUGCUCUAUUAUGUGGUUGCCAAUAAGGCUGUCCGGGCUCCCAAGUCAAG
rnacentral:misc_RNA from 1 species